UUACUGCAUUACAGCACAGCUUCAGAGCUGAUUGUGGUUCCUCUGGAAGCUCACAGGAUCAGAGGUUAGUGUUGUUUGGACGUGUUCUGUUGAAACUGAAGUAAUUUGACAGCUGUUGCAUGAGCAUUUAAUGUCUGCGGCUGAAUCGUGUUUGUAUCCUGCUCUGUUUGCUGACAGAAUCGUGUCACAUUUACACACAUGCAGCGUUUCAAUCAUUUCCAUCAUUACCUUGAUCCAGUCCAAUUCUAUCGUAUUUAAACAUCUCUAGCCUUUAUCUACAAAAAUAUAAUGUGUAAUGUGUAUGUUAUUUAACAGUAAUGCUGUGUUUUUAAUUUCCCUUGACUCUCGCAGAGCUCGGUCUUGUUUGUUCAAAGUCACAGAAACCCGAUCUUCAGGCGAGCAGAUAUUAAUAGUGUGUGUGGGAUCUCCUGAGAGCCUGUGUUUGGCGUGUAAUCGAACCCUUGGCUCUGGGGUCAGUCGUCCACCGCAGGAACUGCUCAAUCUCAGAUCACAGGAGCACAUUCUCAGCAGAGACUCUGAUCAGUUCUCAGAGGGAUGGAGAUCUGGACUGAUGUUGGGUGGAAAGCACAUCUUGUAUCUUUGUAAUGUGUUUUCCGCUGGAAGGUUGGGAUGUUCUUCAUUUGCUGUAAAAAAGAUUCUAAAAUAA
ensembl:lncRNA